rnacentral:misc_RNA from 1 species
CGACACUACCACUGCUGGAUCUUCCUGCUGACUGCUCACCUGCGAGAGCAGCUUCUUGAUCUGGCUCCCCGUGAGAGUUUCAUGCUCCAGCAGCGCAUUGGCAAGAACAUGCAGUUCGUUAUGGUGUGUAGUCAAGAUGGUCUUAGCAUUGUUAUAAGCUCUCCCCAAGAACUCCUUCACUUCCUCUUCAAUAAGCUGCCUCGUCUCCGUGCUCAUGCUCUUCCCAUUAUCAUCGUAGUUG